rnacentral:rRNA from 1 species
UUAAGUUAGCCGCUUUAGACGGGAUUGCUCUAUAACGGCGAGUGAAGCAGCAAUAGCUCAAUUUGAAAUCUGGCGACUUCGACGUCCGAGUUGUAAUUUGUAGAGGAUGCUUCUGAGUAACCACCGACCUAAGUUCCUUGGAACAGGACGUCAUAGAGGGUGAGAAUCCCGUAUGCGGUCGGAAAGGUGCUCUAUACGUAGCUCCUUCGACGAGUCGAGUUGUUUGGGAAUGCAGCUCUAAAUGGGAGGUAAAUUUCUUCUAAAGCUAAAUAUUGGCCAGAGACCGAUAGCGCACAAGUAGAGUGAUCGAAAGAUGAAAAGCACUUUGGAAAGAGAGUUAAAAAGCACGUGAAAUUGUUAAAAGGGAAGGGAUUGCAACCAGACUUGCUCGCGGUGUUCCGCCGGUCUUCUGACCGGUCUACUCGCCGCGUUGCAGGCCAGCAUCGUCUGGUGCCGCUGGAUAAGACUUGAGGAAUGUAGCUCCCUCGGGAGUGUUAUAGCCUCUUGUGAUGCAGCGAGCGCC